UUGUUCAAUCAGUCAUACCAAUGUAGAAACGAACGGACCACGAAGGAACGAAACUGAUGAACGAAGGCUCACAGCGAUAAAGUAGUUUCGUCGGUCGAUUCGCGAUGUGGUAGGCGUUUCCGGGGGUCGACGAGACCGAAGCGACGAAGGGGACGAAGCAGUGAGUUGUCUUCGUUCUCGUCCGUCUGCGAGGUGCGAAGGAAAGCAAGAAGUUGGUCCGAUGGUUUUGUCUAUCGAUCGCGAAAAAGGAACGUCCCCGAGGAUCGAUGAGGCCGAAGAGAAGGAGUGAAGAGCAGCGAGGGAUUUCGUUUGUCUUGGUGGUUACAGCGAGGGGCCGCUCAAGCAGCCUCUCGACUGCUUGCUUCUUCUCCGGCAGUGGAUCGCGAAGGGAAAGGGGAAGGUUCAAGUGCAGAUAGUUCGGUGAUUGGAGGUCAAUCUCAAGAAGGGGAAAGAACGAGGGGGAGGAGGAGGGAUGUACAGUCGCUUGUUCUUCUUCUCCUUUGGCUGAAGAUCCAUAAACGGGAAGGAAAGAAGAAGAUAUCAUUUUUUGGAUAGAUUUCAAAAUCUGACCGUAUCAUUUUUUUAAAUGAUUUUUAUUGGACAACAUUUGGCAAUGAAUGAAAAAGAGUGUUUGUGUGUAAAA